rnacentral:ncRNA from 1 species
UUAAAUUUAAUUUUUGUUUAUAAAUUAAUAAUUUAAUAAAUUUUUAUAUAUAAAAUUAAUAUAUUAAAUAUUUAAUUUUGAAUUAAUAUAUAAUUUUGAAAAAAUAAAUGAAAGUUUAUUCAGUUUAUUAUAGUAAUAAUAUAAAAAUUUAGUGCCAGCAUUAGCGGUUAAACUAAAUUAUUUAGAUUAAUUUUUUUUUUAGUAUUAAUGUUUAUAAUUAAUUGAUACUAGUUAAAUUAAUAAAUUUUAAUAUGGUGAAAUAUUUAAUUUUAUUAUUUUAAUUAAUUUUAUUUAUAAAUUUUAAUAAAAUUAAAUUAAAAACUAGGAUUAGAUACCCUAUUAUUUUGAUUAAUGUUAAAAUAUUAAAAUAUUAAAUGAUAAAUCAUUAAAUUUAAAAGAUUUGGCGGUAUUUUAUAAAAUUAGAGGAACUUGUGGUGUAAUUGAUGGUCCACGAUAAGAUUAACUUAUUUGAUGAUUUAUGUAUUGCUGUUUCAAAAAUUUUAUUAAAUAAUAAUUUUUAAUUUUUAAUAAUUAAAAGAAAUUCAAGUCAAAAUAUAGUUUAUUUAAGAAUUUAUGAGUUACAAUUAAUUUAAUUAUUGGUUAAUUUAAUUUAAAUUUAUUUUAUAAAUUGGAUUUAAUAGUAAAUUCAGUUAAUUAACUGUUUUGAAGAUUUAGUAAAAUAUGUACAAAUUGCCCGUCACUUUCAAUAAAAUGAAAUAAGUCGUAACAUAGUUUAGGUACUGGAAAGUGCUUAUUGAU